rnacentral:rRNA from 1 species
UAUGGGCGGUAUUUUAAGCUUUUCAGAGGAAUUUGCUCUUUAAUGGAUAAAACACCUAAAUCUUACUUAAAUUUGUUAAUUCAAUUUGUAUACCACUAUAAAAACAAUUUAUAACUUUAAUUGUUUAAAUUUAUUAAAUUAAAAUAUAUUAAGUCAAGGUGCAGUAAAAAUUUAAGAAUGAAGUGAAUUACAUUACUCUUUAGAGAAAUAAAUUUAAAAUAAUAUUUAGGAUUUGAAAGUAAAAUUAAAAUAGAAUGUUAAUUUGAAUUAAGCUCUAAAAUAUGUACACAUCGCC